rnacentral:rRNA from 1 species
GAUGAACGCUGGCGGCGUGCUUAACACAUGCAAGUCGAACGAUAAAGCCCAGCUUGCUGGGUGGAUUAGUGGCGAACGGGUGAGUAACACGUGAGUAACCUGCCCUUGACUCUGGGAUAAGCCCGGGAAACUGGGUCUAAUACCGGAUAGGAGCGCCUGUCGCAUGACGGGUGUUGGAAAGAUUUUUCGGUCAUGGAUGGACUCGCGGCCUAUCAGCUUGUUGGUGAGGUAAUGGCUCACCAAGGCGACGACGGGUAGCCGGCCUGAGAGGGUGACCGGCCACACUGGGACUGAGACACGGCCCAGACUCCUACGGGAGGCAGCAGUGGGGAAUAUUGCACAAUGGGCGGAAGCCUGAUGCAGCGACGCCGCGUGAGGGAUGACGGCCUUCGGGUUGUAAACCUCUUUCAGUAGGGAAGAAGCGAAAGUGACGUACCUGCAGAAGAGCC